rnacentral:rRNA from 1 species
AUGUUUAACUCACAUGCUGAUUAUGUUUUCAAACAACUACGAGUCGUCUUAGAUAGCUGUAACAUGUAUAUGCAACUUUCGGUUCCACAUUCAACUACUCAUUUUGCAUUACCACAUUCAUCAUGUGCCCUUUGGGAUACUUACGAGAAGAAGGAAGAUGAGGCCUACUUCCUUGCUUCAGAAGAAAAUAGAAGUCCUGAUAAGAUUGCCCCAUUUCUGUUAAGCCAGACCAACGCGCAUGGGAUUAUCAUCCUCACUCAACGCAUCUUUGUAAUGUACUCCCUCCGUCCUGUAAUGUAA